ACAAUUUUACUUUUUCACUCAUUCUGUUAAAGCUAUAUCGUGACAUCAACAACUAAGGGAAUAACUUCAAAGCAGCUUCUUAUUGGUACUAUUGCAGAUCAGGUUAGCUGUUGUUCCCUUUAACAGAUUCUUUGCCUAUCAUUCCCCAGGUACAUAUUGUCUUUUUUCCAUUAUACUCUAUUUUCAGUGUGAUUUUUCUUCAAGCUUGAUGCAUUAAUAUAUCUGCCUAGGAUAUAUGCUUAAACACACACACGUAGUACACAUACAACACACACAAAAUCCACUAUCAUUUUAUUGGAAAAAUAUGUCCACUACUAUUGUUUUUUGUUUUAUUAAUCUUCUUUUUAGUAUGAAAUUUCUUGAAAAGUAUUCAUAAGAUUGCUCUGAUUUAAAUAUAUUUAUGAUGACAGUUGUCCCCAACAACAUCACAUUUUGAGGCUUGUCAAUUUGUAGUAGAGGACCAUAAAGCACAGUUAGUACUUAUAGAUUGUUCAAUGACUUGAAGGUUUAGCCUCCAAUACACUUGACUCAGAUAGCAAUUUAUGUUAUUUUUUUUGCAAAUUUAAUUGUCUAAUAUGCUGAAAUUUGUUAGAUCCUUGGUAUAAAACUAUUCUUCGAAGAAAUUGCUUGAACGCUAGCUUGGAAUUGGUAAGCUACUCAAACUUUAUUAUUUUAUAUUUUAUAAAUCCUAGAAGAGUUUGAAUAUCCUAGAUAUUCAUCCAUAGUGAAGUAAGUUCUGGAAUUGCAUGACUGCGGUCGGAUGGGUGGUAAUAUUUGUACUGUUAAUUAUAGUUUUGUUUGUUUGUAUUAUUGUGGAUGUUCUAAUACAUUAGUUGCAUGUUUAAAAUUUUUGGGAACGUCCGAAUUAUAGAUGUUAUGCUGCCGAAAUUUCGGUAGAAAUUUCAGUAGGAUUAGUAUUUUAUUGAAUUAAUUAGGUUAAGUUGAAAUAGAAUUAUUUUAUUGUAUUAAUUAGGUUAAUUAAAUUGUUGUUUUGUUGUUUUAUUAGAAGUUUCGAAAUGGAUAGAGAUUGGAUGAGUGCGAAUAGGUUAACGGUAAAAUAUAGGGAAGGUGUUGAUUUCUUUUUGGAGUUUUCUGCAAAGAAUGCGGAUAAUCCUGAUUUGGUUCAUUGCCCAUGUCUCAAAUGUGGUAACAUGGAGCGUAUGAAAAUUGCCCAAAUAAGAGAACAUUUGUUUAAGAACGGUAUAGACAGGAGUUAUAAGGUUUCGUAUCACUACGGAGAAAAAAUUAGAAGAUCGGGCGAGGGACCCUCUAGAAAGGAUAAGAUUGUUAAUAAUGUGGAGUAUGAAGAUGAUCACAUCGCAGAGAUGAUUAACGAAGCAGAGUCUGAAUCUCAAGUUCGUCCUGAAACAUUUCAAACUAUGUUAGAAGAUGUUGAAAAGCCGAUUUACCCUAAUUGUAGUAGGUUUACUAAAUUAUCGACGCUUAUUAGGCUAUACAAUUUGAAAGCAAAACACGGGUGGAGUGAUAAGAGUUUGACAGAGUUACUAGCUUUCUUAGGAGAAUUAUUACCCGAAGGUAAUGAGGUGCCUUUGUCUUUCUAUGAGACAAAAAAGACAUUGUGUUCGUUAGACAUUGUCUUUCUAUACAAAUCAAUUCAUUAAUUAAUUUCUUUUUUGUUUAGUGCUGUGGACAUGUACAGGAUCGAAAAAAAUAUACGAAACAAGGGUCCAGUAAAAAUCAACCAAUACACGUGUCGACAGCAGCCGGAUGGAGUACAAUGUGGUUAUUAUGUUAUGAAGAUUAUCCAGAGUUUCAUGACGGUUGUUAAUCCUGCAAGUUUUUUGAAAAAUCAUUUCAAGUUAGAUGCUCCCUAUAGUAACGAGGAGAUCAAUGCCGUACGGGAUGAGUUGGCCGAAUUUGUGAAGCCUUUGAUUAUAGAUUAAGUACUUAAGGUUACUACACUUUUAAUAUAAUACAUGAGUAACAAGUUUUAUGAUUAUUGUUAUCUUUUGCAUAUAUUAUUAGUUUAUAUUUAGUUUACGAUAUACAUGGAAUUUAAGUUUUAGAAUCGAUUUUAUUAACAAUUUUGGUAUUGUGUGAUUAGUUAAUAGAAUCGAUUACUAAUUUAAUAUAA